UACGUAGGGUGCAAGCGUUAAUCGGAAUUACUGGGCGUAAAGCGUGCGCAGGCGGUUUUGUAAGCCAGAUGUGAAAUCCCCGGGCUUAACCUGGGAAUGGCAUUUGGGACUGCAAGGCUUGAGUUUGGCAGAGGAGACUGGAAUUCCCAGUGUAGCGGUGAAAUGCGUAGAUAUUGGGAGGAACACCAGUGGCGAAGGCGGCUCACUGGACCGGAACUGACGCUGAGGCGCGAAAGCGUGGGGAGCAAACAGG
rnacentral:rRNA from 1 species